UAAAAGGGGGAAUAUUCCCCCUUUUAAAGAUCUUUAAAAGGGGGAAUAUUUCAUAUUCUUUAAAAGGGGGAAUAUUUAAUAUUCCCCCUUUUAAAGAUCUUUAAAAGGGGGAAUAUCGCGA